rnacentral:rRNA from 1 species
CCUACGGGAGGCAGCAGUGAGGAAUAUUGGUCAAUGGACGAGAGUCUGAACCAGCCAAGUAGCGUGAAGGAUGACUGCCCUAUGGGUUGUAAACUUCUUUUAUAAAGGAAUAAAACGAGGCACGUGUGCCUUUUUGCAUGUACUUUAUGAAUAAGGAUCGGCUAACUCCGUGCCAGCAGCCGCGGUAAUACGGAGGAUCCGAGCGUCAUCCGGAUUUAUUGGGUUUAAAGGGAGCGUAGAUGGGUUGUUAAGUCAGUUGUGAAAGUUUGCGGCUCAACCGUAAAAUUGCAAUUGAUACUGGCAGUCGUGAGUACAGUUGAGGUAGGCGGAAUUCGUGGUGUAGCGGUGAAAUGCUUAGAUAUCACGAAGAACCCCGAUUGCGAAGGCAGCUUACUAAACUGUGACUGACAUUGAUGCUCGAAAGUGUGGGUAUCAAACAGGAUUAGAUACCCGGGUAGUC